AGGCAUUUACUAACUGUUUUUUAUUAUUAUUAUUCACGUUAUCCCCAUAACAUUUAGCUAUUACUGUGUAGGGAAAUAGAUAAAUACAAUGCAAUACAAUACAAAUAUAAAGUUAGGAACGCUAAUAAAUGUAAUUUGUAAAAUAAGUGUUAUCUGUCUUGUCGCUCUCAAUGAACGAGUUCGCGAAUGUUCAAGAACCUUCCACGUCAUUCGACGCGAUCCCCCGUUGCGAUCGUCUGUUGCCAGGCAGGUUUGGAAUGGAUUACUAUGGAUGACGUAGGCCGGUACAAUUUUCGCCCCCGGUACAAUUUUUAACGUGACAGCCCCAAAUCCUAUGGCCCCAAAAUCAGUGUAUCUUCCGUUCAAUCCAUAUCCGUUUGGAAAUCAAAACACGAAAAGCGAAAAGUGACUUUUUAAAAAAUCAUCCUCGUUGGGAUAGCUUGACCAGAAAUUCAUCACAUGUAUUGCUCUUUUAAAACAUGUAUACCGGUGUAAUAGUCUCUGUAUGAGCUUUUACCAAUAAUAAAGUCGAGAGAACAGUUUGGGAAAGCUGAGCGGUAGGGCAACCGCCUCCCCUCUGCCGCGUUCCCUCUUUGAAAUUAAGGGAGGCGACCAGCUGCUGCGCGGUGGAGGCGCGGAAACUCGCAAUAAUAUCAUAUUCCAACCUAAAUGGUUGUGCCGAUUGCCAAACAACUGAUGGGCCCAUGAGUUAACAAUAAUUAAUAACAUUAGCACACUUACCAGAUGUGGAGAUCUGUGGACUGUGUGUAGUAGACCAUCUUCAUUUUGUGUCUGCAGUUUUUGCAUUUCACUUUUCUUUGCAGCAACCUUUUCUUUUGCAACCAUGUUAUCAAAUUGAAUGAUGUUUUUUUUGACUCCUUGACAUUCACUUUUCUCAAAAGUGUUCCCACAAGCGAAGCCAUAGCACCGGUGGUCAGAGGAAAUAACUGAUGUUACUGGCCCUGAUUUGAAAAUCUGGCACACUUUUCUGUUAUUAGUUCAAUAUGUGGAGGUACGCUUAAUUUUUACAUCGAAACACCUCCCACCGCAAAGGUUGGGCUGAUUCCCUGGUUGAUGCCUGACUCAAUCAUAAUAAUCAAGCGCUUCUACCGUCCGAUUGGCUAAGCCGCACCGCCAACUCGGUGCCGUUGAAAGAAGCUAUUAGUCCGCGCAAAAUAAAUUGGAUCUUGUCGCUAUGGUAAGUAUCAACCCUCUCUCAACAGUUAUUGUUUUAUUUUGAAAGCAGGCGCCAUUACUUGUAUGUGUGAACCACUUAUGUUUGGCCUAUCUCUUGUUUCAGUACCAGCAUAUGAUUUUUCACCAGUUAAGAUCUGCCACGCCUGGAAAUAUGAAUCUGCCUAUGGUGGAAAGGCCUGCUGAGCGCUCUACCCGGGCAAAAGGACAGCGGGGGAAUGAAGGAGAAAGCUCCGAUAUGCCUACUGCUGGCAAAGUCCAAUGGAAGAAGCGGUCAGAAGAGCUGCAGACCCGGAUCGAGUUGCUGGAGGAGGAGAAUGCUUUACUGAAGCAGCAGCUUGAGCAAAGGCCUUCAGCAGAGCAAGGUUUGUAAAGCUAGAGUAUAGUAUUACCUGAGGACUUCAAUACAGUUUUUUAUGAUCGCUUAACCACAGUGGGCACAACUGGAGCGACACGUGCAAAACUCAGCAUGCAGUUCCUGUGGACCAACCACUAGCUAAUUUUUCAUUGCUUAAACACAAUUUUCAGAACUCUACACACUUAUCUCAUGGCUUAUAUCACAACCUGCACAACACUGGAUUUUCAGCACUUUGAUCAAAUGCUAACACACUGCUGUCACAACUGUAAACCACACAUUCAAAACAGAAUGGACUUCAUCCUGGUGCAUUUUAAACACUGUGGAUUAGGGCUUUGACUUCGAACUUCGUAAUUCGAAUAUACCGGUAAUUCGAAUAUCAAAAAAUAAAUCAACGAAUAUUAGGCAGCCCUUAAUAUUCGAACCUGUUAUCGGCAGGCCAAGAGGAGAGACGUCGGAGAACCCGACGCAGUCUAUUCAUAAUAUUGUAAUGACCACGGAAGAGGCAGUGAAUGAAGUAUUGAUUAGACAGCGAUUUAUCAGAAACCCAAUAAACCGUUGGAACACACAAGACCGGUAACCAUAGCAACGCCGGUAAACAAACCUUGCAAAACCCAAUCCAGGGCUGAAUCCGAAUACUCAUACUUAUAGUAUGCAUUUUGUAGUACGCCACAAAUAUAGCGCGUCCGAAUGCUCAGUACGCAUUGUGUAGUACAGAAAACGUUAAAGAAUGCGUACUACCCAUUGGUACUACCGCCACAGUAUACAACGGUAGGUCACUACGCUAUCCCACAAUGCAACCGGAGUCUGGUAACGAACGAAGAAGUGAUGGCUGACCCGACACUACCAACAGCGGCUUAGAAAGACGUCGUAGAAAGCGGCGAAAAAAGUAAAAAAGUAAAGUAAGUCAUCAAGUAAAAAGAGACAUUUUUAAUUUUAUAGCAACGAUGACAAGACGGAAAACAGGUAACUUAUCAAGGUAGUUUUGCCGGCAUCUGAGGGGAGAUACGUCAUCUCCAAACAUCCGGUGGAGUUUCGGCGGUGUUCGGAAGCUUUCAGAAGCGUUCUACACAUAGCUGUAGACCGUACUACACUUGACAGUGUAGUAUGGUCUUCAGCUAUGCGUAGAACGCUUCUGUUCAGUAGACACUGAACAGAAAUAGUAUGUACUAAGUAUUUGGAUUCAGCCCAGGUCUUACUGAAGGCAUUAAAUGGUCAAAAUACUAUUAAUAAAUAUUCGAAUAUAUUCAAAUAUUAAUAUUAAUAAACAAACGAACUUCGAAUAUGACUUUUGGGCAAAAGUCAAAGCCCUACUGUGGAUUGCUAUUUCAACUGAAACACAAGGUGUCUUGUUUUAGACUUGUGAGUGAACAUAUACAGUAUAUAGGGAAAGUGCAAAAAUACUUUCUUUUGGAAAUGGACCAAGGAAGAAAGGUUGGUGGAGGGAGAAGAGUGGCAGUGAGAGUGUGGAUGUGUUCUGAGUGACAUUAUGUGUCAUCGCGAUGAGGCUGGUUCAUAGUGUUUACUGCUCUGAGCCUAUUUUGCAGGUGAUGUGAACUGUUCAGCUCCAGUGACUGUUGGUAGUGCAGACUGUAGUUAGAUUUUUGCACAUUGAGCUCCAGUUGUGCCCACAACUGGAGCUCAAUGUGGGUUUUUUUCAGGUUAGCGAUCGAAAAAAAACGGUAAUGUAUGUGGCUUCACUACAACAACCACAAUAUUGGAGUUCACCCAUUGUAUGAGGGUCACUCUACGUCACAACAUCUGAUAGACAUCAGCAUAUCAGGUGGGCACUAUUCACACCUGCGCCUUACAGGUGAACGCUGCAAAGCCAGCCAGCUGCGCUCUUUUAAAAAUUACACAACUGUUACGGUAACACCCUUAACUCUACCGGCAGUGGUUCGGAAUGAGGAGGACACCGAUUCUUGACAGGCUUACUUUAUUCCCGUUGCACUCACUUUACAGUUGGUUGCAUUAGCUUAUGCUGCUUUCUCUCGCUUGCAUUCACACACCCAGACACAUGCUACCGCUCGCUCUCCUCGCUCGUCCAUUCACUCACUGAAAUCCCUCAAACAACAACACACUGCCAUUCUCGCUCACUCACUCAGGCUACUCUGUCUCAUAACACUACUAUCAAGAUACAUCAUCUACUUCCGAAUUGCCCUCCAACAAUUUAAAAUCAGAAAAAUCCUCCACCUCAAACAACACAUCUGUGUGACAUAUGAGCUCACAUCGUGUAGCGAUAGCGCCCUUAGACUCUCUGUCACUCUGCUUUUCAAGGAAGUUAUAUCAUUUAGAUCUUCCUGAGUGACAGCUAGAUUAACCCAGUGUCCUUUACAGCCACCUCCUUCCUAACUGAGCCGUCAGAACCUUGGUCAGAACGCAUUUUUCAAAAUUGUGCAGUGUGACAAGUUAUGCUGAGACUGGGGGUAAAGUUACCCUUAAAAGUUGUUUUAAGUGCUUUUUUCUGCUUUUCGUCAUUUCCUAGGUGACACAGUGGACAACACUGACCCCGAACCAGAGUCAAACACUGACGCAAGUAGCAGCUCCAGCACAGACUCAGAUUCCAGCAGCAGCAGCUCUUCCUCCUCUGAUGGCCGAAAAAAAAAAAAGAGGAAGCACAAGAAAAAAGCAAAAAAAAGGAGCAAAAAGUCGAAGAAGUCGAAGAAGUCAAAGGCCAAAGGAUAUCGUGUGACAACCAUAUCGGAUGUGGUGAAGCGGUACCGCCAGGUCCUUCGAAUAAUAGAAAGGGGACACACAAUGUCAAGGGCAUUCGCAAAGGCAGGCGUCUCAAGAAAUGCUGUGAAGGACACCGCCGCAAUCGCGGAACUGUACAUAGCUGACAGAAGUGUCCUGGAGGAGAUAAAGGGCAAAAAGACGCUCCUCCAUUUAGCAAAGGUCUGCGACUCAAAAAUAGUUGGAGAGCUUUCUUUGAAGAUUGAAGAACUUAAAAAGAAAAAGAAACUGAUACCAUUCACCAAAAGAGGCUGAGGCUGAAAUGGACAGAGGAGAAAGGGGAGAGUGUUUUCAUUUAUUUAAAAAAAAAAAAAAAAAAAAGUUUUAUUUGUUCAAACGGUUUAUAGUAUUCUUGUUUCUUUUGACUCUUAGUUUAUUUAAAAAAAAAAUAAUGUUUUUGUUUUAUUUGUUCAAACGGUAUAUAGUAUUCUUGUUUCUUUUGACUCUUAGUUUUUUUAAAAUAAUAAAGUUGCUUUCUUCUCUGAUAUGCUGCUUAUGUGUUGUUUAUUUCACUUUGCGGUCAUCCAGUUUUACUGAUCAGUUGAGCAAAACUUGUCUCUAUUUUGUACUGUUACUAGUUUGUAGACCGCUACUGUUCUCAACUGUUUUCACUUUAAUUUGACAGUCCUAAGACCUCUACUAAUGCUUAGUUGAACAUUGACUGAUAGUUUGUUGAGAAUCAACUAUUUUCUCUGUUUUGCUCUGUUAAUAGUGUGUAGACACUAAACUGUUUUCACUUUAAUUUGACAGUCCUAAGACCUCUCUACUAAUGCUUAGUUGAACAUCGACUGAUAGUUUGUUGAGAAUCAACUAUUUUCUCUGUUUUGCUCUGUUAAUAGUGUGGAGACACUAAACUGUUUUCACUUUAAUUUGACAGUCCUAAGACCUCUCUACUAAUGCUUAGUUGAAUAUUGACUGAUAGUUUGUCGACAGUCAUAUGACAAUCAACAGGUUGUCACCUACACAGGGUGCCUAUUGAUUGAUAAAAUAUUCUCAUCUUUAUUUUACAAUGAACAUAUCUGAUCAACAGAGGGUUGAAUGUUCAUUCAUUAGAUGUGUUCCUUGUGAGUGGAGGGUAAGUUGAUCCAUAUGAAACGUAAGUUGAGAAUUGGUUAAUAACAGCAGUUGAUAGUCAACUUACUAGAAGUUGACACUCAACUGAUAGUUGAAUAUUUGUAAAGAACAUGUAGUAAAAAGCACAAUGUCUGUUGCAGACUGUUUUUGUAAAAAUAAAUGAACGAAAUAAAAAUAUACUAUAGUCAACUAACACUUAGUUGAAUGCAUGUUACAUAUUUGUUGACAAGCUCUGUAGAGUAUCAACUAACUCACUGUUGAAUAUCAACUAAACGCCAGCUAAUAAUGCAACGUGUAGUUAACUUAGUUAGUUGAAUGCUUGUUUCUUAUCUGUUGAAAGCUUUGUUGAUUAUCAACUAACCAUCUACUAAUAAUGCAACUAAUAGUUAACUGACAGUUAGUUGAAUGCAUGCUACGUGUACAAAACAACAUCUACUAAUAGCGCAACUUAUAGUUAACAGACAGUUAGUUGAAUCCAUGUUUCUUAUCUGUUGAACAAGCUCUGUCA